CCUACGGGGGGCAGCAGUGAGGAAUAUUGGUCAAUGGACGCAAGUCUGAACCAGCCAAGCCGCGUGCAGGAUGACGGCCCUAUGAGUUGUAAACUUCUUUUGUAUGAGAGUAAACCCCGAUACGUGUACCGGGUUGAAAGUAUCGUACGAAUAAGGAUCGGCUAACUCCGUGCCAGCAGCCGCGGUAAUACGGAGGAUCCGAGCGUUAUCCGGAUUUAUUGGGUUUAAAGGGUGCGUAGGCGGUUGGUUAAGUUAGGGGUGAAAUGUCGGGGCUCAACCCCGAAACUGCCGUUAAUACUGUUUGACUUGAGAAGAGGUGAGGUAGGCGGAAUGGAUGGUGUAGCGGUGAAAUGCUUAGAUAUCAUGCAGAACACCGAUUGCGAAGGCAGCUUACCAAACUAUAACUGACGUUGAGGCACGAAAGCGUGGGUAGCAAACAGGAUUAGAUACCCCUGUAGUC
rnacentral:rRNA from 1 species